rnacentral:misc_RNA from 1 species
CGCACAUUGCGCCCCUUGGUAUCCCGAGGGGCAUGCCUGUUCGAGCGUCAUUUCAGGACGGUCAAGCCAAGCUUGGUCUUGGGCGCGGUCAGUCUCCGAGGAGAGACCCGCUCGUAACUCUUUGGCGGCGACCUUUCGGUCCCUAGGCGUAGUAAAAUAUUCGUCUCUGGGCUCCGUGGGUGGCUGUGACUUAGAAGUCUCAAACCCAGAAAGUUUGACCUCGGAUCAGGUAGGGAUACCCGCUGAACUUAA